CGCGGAUGGUGACGUUCCUGUCGUCACUGCCGCGGUUCCUGGUCCUAGUUGUAAACACUCGGCAGGUGUUAACUACAAAAGAUAUAAUUGAGUUAUUAACGAUCCAGGAUAAGGAUAUAUUGAUAUGUCUACGAUUUAAUAUAGGGCUGCUUGUUGAGGUAUCGGCGCGAUGCCACCGACGCUCGCCGGAUUAUAAUAAUUAGUUGGACUAACGGGAGGUGAAGGAUAGGGCCAAUAAAAUAUCGGUGGUGGUGGAUAUGGCCCAGCGAAUUGGGGUGGUCCUCGUGGUAGCAUCGCGGUUGUUGGAGGGAAGAUUGCACUUGUUACGAACGACGGUGGUGGCGGCAAUAUCGUGCCUCCUAAAGGAAGGAAAAUUAGAAAAAGAUUACUUCAUUUAUUGUAGUAAUUACGAACGAUAAACAAUGAUGAUUUCGUUCGACGUUAAUAAAAAAGAAAAGUAAAUAAAGUAAAUUAAAAAUAAGAGAAAACAAAGUAAAAUAAAUAAAUAAAUGAACAAAAAAAAAUAAAUAAAAAGUGAAGAGAGAUACGUAACGUUUCAAAAUCAAUCAGUGAUAAUUAAUUAAUUAAUACAAAGAAUCAGUAGUGCCCCAUGGCGUUUUUAUGUAUGUAUGUAUGUACAUUAAAGAAAAAUGCCCACUAUGCAACACAAUUGUGAGAUACGCAAUAUCGUGCAAUAACAUUUUUUUCAAUCUUUUAUAUAUAUAUAAUAUAUAUAAAAUUUUAUAUAUAUAUAUAUAUAAAAUGUCAGCUAUAUAUAUAUAUAUAUAUACACGUACACAUAUAUAUUUGACAUUUAUAAUGUAACAUCUUUUUUAUUUGAGAUCUGCACGAUAUUGCCCGUAAAUAAACGGAAUUUGUACGGUUUCGGCGAAAAUAAUAAUUUAAUUACAAUACGACCAAUCCAGAAAAUAGAAAAUGAUCCAAUGGAAAACAUCCAUUAUAUUUACCUGAUAAGAAAUAUAUAUAUAUAUAUAUAUAUAUAUAUAUAUAUAUAUAUACAUAUAUAAAACUAAAUUUAAACAUUUCAUCGAUUAGAAUCAAAGAUAUGCUUUACGAUCCAAAUUUGAUUUUUAUUUAUAGUAAAUUUUCGAUUUACAUAUUUCCGCAUUAACCGUACAUUAACCGCACAUCUUCCAAAGGAAUAAAUGACUUGGACUUGGCCUACCUGGAAGCACAGAAGUUAGUAUUUGUAGAUCCCGCUACCAUACAGCAAUCGACACUGCACCAUUGUAACACGAUAUAUACGCAUGUUUUAUAUAUAUGUACGCAGCACCAACUUGCGAUUCCGCCCCUCUGCCAAAUCACCAGAGUUUUACUUAGAUUCUCUCCCUUUUUUUCUAUCUCUUUCUCUCUUUCUAAAUCCCUCUAUAUAUCACACUUUCUCUCUCUCUCUCUCUCUCUCUCUCACACACACAUUUUCCCUUUUUUCUCUCUUUCUCUCUCUCUCAUUUCCUCUUUCCAUUGAAACCCUUUCCUGAACCCCUCUCUCUCUCUCUCUCUCUCUCUCUCUCUCUCUCUCUCUUUCUCUCUUUCUUACCCUUUGACCCACCAUAAAAAGCCAAAUUUGCAUGUGCCACUUGUGAUUGCACAAAAACUUAAAUCCUUACCUGUAUUUAUAUCUUUCUGACCGUCUCUCUCUCUCUCUCUCUCUUUCUUUCUCUCUUUCCUCACCUCUCUUUCUUUCUCUCUCUCUCUCUUUCUCUUUCUCUCUUUCGCUAUCUCUCUUCCUUCUCUCUCUCUUUCUCUCUCUUUCUCUCUCUCUCUCUCUCUCUCUCUCUCUCUUUCCCUUUCUCUCUCUCUCUCUCUCUCUCUUGUGUUUUCCAUUUGAAUUAAUGCAACCAAUUAAAUUUGACGUGGAAAUGGAAAAUUUUUGUUACUAAUAAAUAUCUAAUGUUUCAAUUAAAUCGAUGAAAGUUCGAUAAAUAAUACUAAUAAAGUUCCAUAUGUUUCAUCUAUUUUCUAUAUCUAAUAGAUAGAUAUCUCAUUAGGAUUGUGAAAGAAUUUGGAAAAAUAGAUCUACUAAUGUUACGUAGCAUAAUAGAAAAGGAUUAAAUUGUUGCAAUGAUACAAUGCUAAUUGAUUAGAGAUCAAUCAUUGCAUUAAUAUUGAUUCGUACAAAGAAAAACAAGAAAAACAAAAAAAAUGAAAGUUAUAGAAACGAAAUAAUAAUCCGACAAUGUUUAAAAUAUGAACCUAGGUAUCGAAGAAAAAAUAUAUCGAUUAUACCGUCGGAACAAAUUAGAGAGGAAAGAGAUAAUUGCAGAAAGAUGGAUCGAGAAUGGGCAAGAGAGCCAAAUAAAAACAAAAAAGGGAGAGAUCAAAAGAGAUAAACACAGAAAGAAAAUACUAAAAAAAAAACAGAGAGAAAAAGAGAGAGAGAGAGAGAGAGACAAACAGACAGACAGAAAGAGCGUAAAAGAAAAAAGAGAGAGAGAAGAUUGAGAAAGAGAGAAACAGAAAGAGAAAGAAAUAGAGAGAGAGAGAGAGAGAGAGAGAGAGAGAAAGAGAGAGAAAACCCUGUAAGUAAGAUAAAGAGAGAAUCAAGAAUUACGACACAGAAAAUCUCCAACUUGAUCCGUAGACACCAAAGAUACCUGCGAGCCCAGUGAAAAAAAAAAAAUAUACAGAACGUAACAAGAAACGAUGAUUGUACUUUUCGCUCAUGAACUUCUUCGUGAGGAUGAAAAGAUGUGAAAAAUUUAAGAAAAAAAGAUUUAAUAAAGAAAUGAAUACAUUAUUGUUUGAUCUAUUUCAAAUUCGAAAAUCAAAUCAAAGAAUAUUUAUGACGAAAAGUACAAACACCGAGCGAGGUAAUAAUAAUCAGGGUAAGAGUCCACCAACCCGGCAAGCAAAAAGAUAUGUAUGUCCACAAGGCACAUUUAUUAAACACGAUCGUUCACCAUCGAUAUAAUCGUCGAUAAUACAAGAGAGUGUAUACAAGAUGUAAAAAAAAGGAUUUGUGUGUGUGUGUAGGUGUACGUAUGUAUAUAUUAUUAUGAUCUAUGUAUGGAUAGUGCGUAUGUAUACGUGUGGUAAUGUAGUGUUUAAUGUGUGCAUAUGUAUACUAAUGUACCACCUCUCCGUAUGUAUGCAUGUAUCUAUGUGUGAGUGAGAAUGUCCUACAUCCCAGUAAUUAAAAAAAAAACGCUAUUUUAAAAAAAAAAAAAGGGCACACCUUUCGUAACAAAAAAGAAAGAGGAAAAAAAAAGAAAGAAUAUUAGGGAAGAAGAAGAAGAAGAAGAAGAAGAAGAAGAAGAAAGAGGAGAAACGUACCGUACACACGGUCGCAUAGAAAAGAAAAAAAAAAAAGAAAA